rnacentral:lncRNA from 1 species
GGUACAGCCCCCCUGUUAUCCCCAGGAGGGCAAUGCAGAAACGUUGCCCGGGGAUAGUGCAGUGUGCUUGGAAACAUGGCAGGGGACACCGCCCUACCACUGACUUCUAACCUUGAUUUUCAUCUCUGUGGCAUCUGGAAGCCCGGGGUGUGUUCACUUGCACUUUUAAUACUUCCCACAGCUUAAAAUAACAAAAAACAAAAACUCUGAGCCAGUAGCUGCUAUUGGGCACCAUAGAAUUCAAGCAACCUGGAGGGUCUUCCUUCCUAGCAGCCCCUGUAAAAGGGUCGUUUGACCCACAAAGGGGUCUCUACCUAGAGGUUGAGAAGCUCUGACUUAGAGCAUUCAUAAGCAAAGAACAGUAACUGAGACCAGUGGUGGAUAACUAACUCCCUACUUUACAUUUAUGUUAAAAGGCACUAUGAAAACUGAUGUUUUUCAAUGAUAUGAAGAGUCAUGGUCCCUACUGUUGAGGAAGAUGAACUGUGUGAUAUUCUUCCCAGAGAAUUCUUUGUAUUUCCCUGACCUUCAUCGACCCAUGAUGGAUUAUGCUACAAAGCUGAACAGUCUUCUAGCGUGGAGGCAAAGAUAAACUAUCCUGUGGCUGAUACCAGCCAGAAACUGGAAGCAGCCUAGAUGCCCCUCAACCGAAGAAUGGAUAGAGAAAAUGUGGUACAUUUACACAAUGGAGUACUACUCAGCAGAAAAAAACAAUGGAAUCUUGAAAUUUGCAGGAAAAUGGAUGGAACUCGAAGAAACCAUUCUGAGCAAG